CUUGGGGCAUGGAGUCCCA
rnacentral:miRNA from 1 species